GAGGUUGAGAUGCUUUACUUGUAUGAAAAGUGUGAAACUGAAAAAUACAUAAACAACAAUAUUGGUUCAGUAUUGGUUUGUAACUUCACUUACACCAUAUCACAUAACAUAAGCAUGACCAGCAGGUAAGUAUUAAGCAAAAUCAGUGUUACAGAAUUAAUGGAGCAUUAAUGAACUGAUCUGUUAGUAUACAUAAACCAAAAAAGGCUACCCCAAGUGAUUCACUAAAUUCACCGACAUCAUAACAAAAAGUGGUCAAGAAAAUGUGCUUAUAUCAAAGAUACAUCGUUUCACAAUGCAUGUACUUACAGGUGAUGCCUUCUCAAGGGCUAUGAAUGAAGGAUGGCAACAGAUGAACACACAUCAGCUUCACUAGAGCACACAGGCCAUUUGUAGUUUGCUUGAACUAACUUCCUGUUACACAGGAAAUACAAAUCAGUGCUCAAACACUAUACUACAAUAAAUGACCAACAGGAGUCACUAGAGAACCCAGUAACACUGCACUAUGGUAAAUAACCAGCAGGAGUCACUAAAGAACAUUGAAUAACAGGCAUGGCCAGAACAGAAGUUGUGAAUGCGCUCCACCCACUCUGAGCAAUUUCAACAUGUUUAUGAGUUUUCACGGGACGAAGCUGAAUAAAGAACGCCCUGUAGUUUAAAA